rnacentral:rRNA from 1 species
CCUACGGGUGGCAGCAGUGAGGAAUAUUGGUCAAUGGACGAGAGUCUGAACCAGCCAAGGAGCGUGAAGGAUGACUGCCCGAGGGGUUGUAAACUUCGGGUAUAUGGGAAUAAAAUGUUCCACGUGUGGGAUGUUGUAGGUACCAGAUGAAGAAGGAGCGGCGAACUCCGGUCCAGCAGCCGCGGUAAUACGGAGGAUCCGAGCGUUAUCCUGAUUUAUUGGGUUUAAAGGGAGCGAAGGUGGAUUGUUAAGUCAGUUGUGAAAGUUUGCGGCUCAACCGUAAAAUUGCAGUUGAAACUGGCAGUCUUGAGUACAGUAGAGGUGGGCGGAAUUCGUGGUGGAGCGGUGAAAUGCUUAGAUAUCACGAAGAACUCCGAUUGCGAAGGCAGUUCACUGGACUGCAACUGACACUGAGGCUCGAAAGUGUGGGUAUCAAACAGGAUUAGAUACCCCGGUAGUC